rnacentral:rRNA from 1 species
CAGCCGCCGCGGUAAUACGAAGGGGGCUAGCGUUGUUCGGAAUUACUGGGCGUAAAGGGCGCGUAGGCGGCCAUUCAAGUUAGAUGUGAAAGCCCUGGGCUCAACCUAGGAAUUGCAUUUGAUACUGGUUGGCUUGAGUUCGGGAGAGGUGAGUGGAAUUCCCAGCGUAGAGGUGAAAUUCGUAGAUAUUGGGAAGAACACCAGUGGCGAAGGCGGCUCACUGGACCGACACUGACGCUGAGGCGCGAAAGCGUGGGGAGCAAACAGGAUUAGAGACCCGGGUAGUCCCUGUCUCUUAUAC